rnacentral:rRNA from 1 species
UAGGGAAUAUUGGGCAAUGGGCGAAAGCCUGACCCAGCAACGCCGCGUGUGCGAUGAAGGUCUUCGGAUCGUAAAGCACUUUUCGGGGAGAUGAGAAAGGACAGUAUCCCCGGAAUAAGUCUCGGCUAACUACGUGCCAGCAGCCGCGGUAAAACGUAGGAGGCAAGCGUUAUCCGGAUUUACUGGGCGUAAAGCGCGUGCAGGCGGUUCGGUAAGUUGGAUGUGAAAGCUUCCGGCUCAACUGGGAGAGGUCGUUCAAUACUACCGGACUUGAGAGUGGUAGAGGGAGGUGGAAUUCCCGGUGUAGUGGUGAAAUGCGUAGAUAUCGGGAGGAACACCAGUGGCGAAAGCGGCCUCCUGGACCAUUUCUGACGCUAAGAAGCGAAAGCUAGGGUAGCGAAUGGGAUUAGAAACCCCAGUAGUCCUAGCCGUAAACGAUGUGAACUGGGUGUCGGUGGGGUAAAAGCCAUCGGUGCCGAAGCUAACGCGAUAAGUUCACCGCCUGAGGAAUACGGCCGCAAGGUUG